ACUGAAGAUCAAGUUAAUAAUCUGAGGACCGCUUAUUCUUGUUGUAGAAGCAACUAUUGCCAUCAUGAACCAAAUUUGGUUCACACAUCAACAAGCUCGACCUGCAGGGUGGAGACCCUCACUUCUUCUAUCUAUGGAAGGCCAUGCCUUUAGGCACAGCAGAAGAAACAAAGACAAUCCAUCAAGAGAGAAGAUGGCAAGCAAGAGAAACAGCAGAAGGAACGGCAAAAAUGCAAACAGUCUUUAUUUCAGAUUGUUCAGAGCCACUGGAUUUUCCCUGGGGAAACCUCUCAACACACAGAUGUAUUCAAACAAUGAUUUUGUUUCCAAA